CAGCUACUCAGGAGGCUGAGGCAGGAGAAUCGCUUGAACUCAGGAGGCGGAGGUUGCAGUGAGCCAAGAUCACGUCACUGCACUCCAGCCUGGGCAACAGAGUGAGGCUCCAUCUCAAAAAAAACAAAAGAAAAGAAAAUAUGCCCUCUACCUUCUGAGCCUGAGGAGAAAAAAAAGAAAAUAUGCUCUGUUGUUCUGCCCCUCAGAUUUAUUUUCGUGUUUUUGUAGGAUCAGACAAAGGUGAAAAUGAAGCAAUGGAAUCCUCUGGGAAGCGGGCCCCUCAGUGCUACCCCAGUUCCGUCAACUCUGCCAGGACUGUGAUGCUGUUCAACCUUGGCAGUGCUUACUGCCUGAGGAGCGAAUAUGACAAAGCCCGAAAGUGUCUCCACCAGGCGGCUUCAAUGAUCCAUCCUAAAGAGGUGCCCCCUGAGGCCAUCUUGCUGGCAGUCUACCUUGAACUGCAGAAUG
rnacentral:sRNA from 1 species